rnacentral:pre_miRNA from 1 species
AAGAGAAUUUGAAGGCAAUUCUUUUUUUUUGAUAAUAAAUCAUCAGAUUUCCAAAAAUCAUGUGUUAGCAAGCAAACUUGCCAGGCAAACCUGGCACAUCUGUUUUAGAAGGAAACAGAUGCCUUCCAGAGUUAAAAUAUAACCAUUAAAUUCUAU